GCACAAGCGGUGGAUGAUGUGGUUUAAUUCGAUGCAACGCGAAAACCUUACCCACCUUUGACAUGGCAGGAAUCCUAAAGAGAUUUGGAGUGCUCGAAAGAGAACCUGCACACAGGUGCUGCAUGGCUGUCGUCAGCUCGUGUCGUGAGAUGUUGGGUUAAGUCCCGCAACGAGCGCAACCCUUGCCAUUAGUUGCUACGAAAGGGCACUCUAAUGGGACUGCCGGUGACAAACCGGAGGAAGGUGGGGAUGACGUCAAGUCCUCAUGGCCCUUAUAGGUGGGGCUACACACGUCAUACAAUGGCCGGUACAGAGGGUAGCCAACCCGCGAGGGGGAGCCAAUCCCACAAAGCCGGUCGUAGUCCGGAUCGCAGUCUGCAACUCGACUGCGUGAAGUCGGAAUCGCUAGUAAUCGCGGAUCAGCAUGUCGCGGUGAAUACGUUCCCGGGUCUU
rnacentral:rRNA from 1 species